rnacentral:rRNA from 1 species
ACCUGAAACCGUGUACGUACAAGCAGUGGGAGCCUCUUAAUGGGGUGACUGCGUACCUUUUGUAUAAUGGGUCAGCGACUUAUAUUCUGUAGCAAGGUUAACCGAAUAGGGGAGCCGAAGGGAAACCGAGUCUUAACUGGGCGUUAAGUUGCAGGGUAUAGACCCGAAACCCGGUGAUCUAGCCAUGGGCAGGUUGAAGGUUGGGUAACACUAACUGGAGGACCGAACCGACUAAUGUUGAAAAAUUAGCGGAUGACUUGUGGCUGGGGGUGAAAGGCCAAUCAAACCGGGAGAUAGCUGGUUCUCCCCGAAAGCUAUUUAGGUAGCGCCUCGUGAAUUCAUCUCCGGGGGUAGAGCACUGUUUCGGCAAGGGGGUCAUCCCGACUUACCAACCCGAUGCAAACUGCGAAUACCGGAGAAUGUUAUCACGGGAGACACACGGCGGGUGCUAACGUCCGUCGUGAAGAGGGAAACAACCCAG